CGACCCUUCUUAAGCCGAGGGUCACCUAGCCAACUGACGUUGUUAGUGAAUACUCUUUGUUCACAAUUUACAUAGGCCAAUCGCGAAUAUUGCGGUUGGCUUUUUUGUUUU
rnacentral:sRNA from 1 species